rnacentral:tRNA from 1 species
GCCGAGGUGCCAGAAUCCGGUAAAUGGGGCCGGCUCGAAACCGGCUGUGUUCACACACGUGCAGGUUCAAAUCCUGCCCUCGGCG